GAAGUCCACGCCCUCUCCCCUGUUUUUCCUUUCCUGUCCUUGCCCGCCACGACCACCGCCAUCAUGCCCCGAAGACCCCGUGAGCGUGAAACUUCCCCGCAUCCCUUCGCCCACCUCACCCUCCUCCCCGCGCCCCGGCUCCGCGUCGAAGGAUCGGAGGAACCAGACCAGGGAAGGAUCGGAGGCGCCGGCGCCUCGAAGUCGAAACCCAGGGAGCCUGAUGCCUGAGAAUACCAGGCCUGGAGGGUAGAUCUAAUCCUACUAGCAGCUAAAUUGGAAGAAAAUGAUGAUUGGAAAAGAGGACAGAUAUGUGAGAUUUCAGGACUGGAGAUCAGAGCAGUCUGUUAGCUCAGAGAACAUAGUUGUUCCACGUAGAAAUGAUGUUUCAGUUUUCGAUUCACUUAAAGAAAGAACUGCCAGAGUUUUUGCAUUCCUUGGAAACCUUUUGCACUCAGAAACCUCAAGUAGAUCAAUGGUGAACGAAAGAAAGUCUGCAACAGGAACUCUUCAUCCCCAAGGGCCAUUUCUGCAAAAAUGGAAUAGGAUAUUUGUGAUAUCAUGUAUACUUGCAGUUUCAGUGGACCCAUUGUUCUUAUAUAUCCCAGUUAUCAGUGAUGAAAAACCUUGCUGGUACUUGGAUAGAAAGUUGGAAAAGGCAGCAAGUGUCUUGCGUUUUUUCACAGAUAUUUUCUACAUACUCCAUAUCAUAUUUCAGUUCCGGACAGGCUUCCUUGCAUCAUCUCCUACAACUUUUGGUCGGGGUGUCUUAAUUGAAGAUAGAUAUGCAAUAACCAAGCGAUACUUAUCAACAUAUUUUUUUAUUGAUGUCUUCGCUAUUCUACCCAUCCCUCAGGUGAUUAUUUUGGUUGUGUUACCUAUUCUUCAAGACUCAGACGUUAUGAAAGCCAAAAGUGUCUUGAUGAUUAUAAUUAUAUGCCAAUAUGUGCCUCGACUAAUCCGAAUAAGACCACUAUAUCUACAAAUCACAAGAUCUGCUGGGGUUAUUACAGAGACAGCACGGGCUGGUGCUGCUUUCAAUCUUUUACUUUACAUGCUUGCCAGUCAUGUCCUUGGAGCAAUUUGGUACUUACUUUCUAUCCAACGCCAAGAUUCCUGCUGGAGACAUGAGUGUAGAAACAAUACAACAUGUGCUGCAGAUGCUGCAUCUUUAUACUGUGGGGCUGUUCAUAAGAAUGAGACCUAUGCUUUUUUAAAGACUGUUUGUUCAUUAGGUAACACGCAAAUCAUUCCAGAUCCAGUCUUUGGAAUCUAUGCACCAGCUAUAAAAAAUAUAUCACAAUCGAGAAGUUUCUUUACAAAAUUGUUCUACUGUGUUUGGUGGGGUCUGCAAAAUCUCAGUUCUCUUGGCCAAAACCUGAAAACAAGCACUUAUGCAUGGGAGAAUUUAUUUGCAGUUUUUGUCUCAAUAUCAGGUUUAGUUCUGUUUGCGCUGCUUAUUGGUAAUGUGCAGACCUAUUUGCAAUCAGCUUCUCUGAGAAUAGAGGAAACGAGGAUGAAAAGCCGCGACACAGAUCAGUGGAUGUCAUAUCGACAUCUUCCUGAGAACCUCAAAGAAAGAAUACGGCGUUAUGAACAGUACAGAUGGCAAGAAACAAGUGGUGUUGAUGAAGAACAACUCCUUAUGAACCUCCCCAAAGAUCUUAGGAGGGAUAUAAAACGACAUCUUUGUUUAUCACUUCUCAUGAGGGUUCCAAUGUUUGAAAAUAUGGACGAACAGCUCUUGGAUGCCUUGUGUGACCGCCUAAAGCCCAUUCUAUACACAGAAGGUAGCUGCAUCAUUCGUGAAGGGGAUCCAGUAACCGAAAUGCUCUUCAUCAUGCGAGGAAAUCUAAUGAGCAUGACGACAAAUGGUGGAAGAACUGGCUUCUUCAACUCCGAUGUUCUGAAAGGUGGAGAUUUCUGUGGCGAGGAGCUCCUCACCUGGGCUCUUGACCCCACAUCAACAUCAAGCCUCCCCAGCUCGACAAGGACGGUGAAAACAAUUUCCGAAGUCGAAGCUUUUGCUUUGAGGGCUGAAGACUUGAGGUUUGUGGCCACCCAGUUCAGACGACUCCACAGCAAGCAGCUCCAGCACACUUUCAGGUUCUACUCGCAGCACUGGAGAACCUGGGCUGCCUGUUUCAUCCAAGCAGCCUGGCACCGGUACUGCAGGAAGAAGAUUGAAGAUUCCUUGCGCUUGAAGGAGAAGAGGCUGCAGUUUGCGAUUGUGAAUGAAGGCUCCACCUCUCUCAGCUUCAUGGCAGCACUAUAUGCUUCGCGUUUCGCUGGAAACAUGAUACGGAUCUUGAGGAGAAACGCCACUCGCAAGGCCCGUCUCCAGGAACGAGUGCCUGCGAGGCUGCUGCAGAAGCCAGCGGAGCCCAACUUCUCCGCGGAAGAGCAGUAGCUUCACAGUUGCUCUUUGCCUUUGGCAGAAAUGGAUACUUAAAAGUUGUUUAUGCGUGACUUUUGCAGUUUUCCACUCGCUGAUGUUGCUGAAGUUGGCACGGCCAAAGCAGAAAAAAGAAAAAAAAGCGAGGAAAAUAUAGCGAUAGCAUUACAUAGUCGGUGAUGUAGAUGGCUGCUUGUUUCAGAGCUUUUGGGUAGCGUUGUAUAUGCCUUGUCUAAAAAAUGUAGCGGUUGAUGUGUUUCUGUAACAUAGGUGUGAUUAGCAAUGUAGUGGUACGCUUCAAAAUAUAUGACUAGUGAGCGAUGGUUUUCGUGUUUUGCACAUGGUAGAUGGGACUGGGUCCCAUGCCCAUGUAGUCGUGAUUCGGUGGUCUCGGUGUGUCGCAACAAAAGGAAAAGGAACAUGUUCUCUGCGCUUCUCCAUGCAGAUACGCCACCAUCUUUGAAUUGAACACGACAUGUUCUUGUCUC